AUGCAUCCUUCUCUCUUCCUGGCUGCCCUUUGCUUGGGAAUGACCACAGCUGCUCCACAGCCCGACCAGAGCUUAGAUGCGCACUGGUCCCGGUGGAAGGCGGCGCACGGGAAACUAUAUGACGAGAAUGAAGAAGGAUGGAGGAGAGCAGUGUGGGCGAAGAAUAUGAAAAUGAUUGAACGGCACAAUCAGGAAUACAGCCAAGGGAAACACAGCUUCACAAUGGCAAUGAACGCCUUUGGUGACCUGACCAAUGAAGAAUUCAAGCAGGUGAUGAAUGGCCUUAAAGUCCAGACGCGCAAAGAGGGGAACGUGUUCCAAGCACCUCCCUUUGCUGAGACCCCCUCCUCUGUGGACUGGAGAGAGAAAGGCUACAUAAUCCCUGUGAAGAAUCAGGGUCUGUGUGGUUCUUGUUGGGCCUUUAGUGUAACGGGUGCCCUCAAAGGACAGAUGUUCCAGAAAACUGGCAAGCUCGUGUCAGAGUGAGCAGAACCUGGUGGACUGCUCUCAGUCUCAAGGCAAUGAGGGCUGCAGUGGUGGCCUGAUGGAUAACGCCUUCCAGUAUGUGAAGGGCAGCGGAGGCCUGGACUCGGAGGAAUCCUAUCCAUACUGUGCACAGGACGGAUCCUGCAAAAGAAGCCUGAACAGUCUAUCGCCAAGGAUGCUGGCUUCACGGACAUGCAUCAGGAUGAGGGGCCCCUUAUGGUGGCGGUGGCAACUGUGGGGCCCAUCUCUGCUGCGAUCGAUGCAAGCCUGGAUACCUUCUAGUUCUAUCAUAAGGGCAUUUGUUAUGAUCCAAACUGCAGCAGUGAAGACCUGGAUCACGGUAUUCUGGUGGUUGGCUAUGGCUCUCAAGGAGAAGAACCAGAGAGCAAAAAAUACCGGAUUGUCAAGAACAGCUGGGGCACGGACUGGGGCAUGCAGGGCUACAUACUGAUGGCCAAAGACCGGGACAACCACUGUGGAAUCGCCACCUCAGCCAGUUUUCGCAUUGUGUGA